rnacentral:rRNA from 1 species
AUGCACGCUGGCGGCGUGCCUCAUCCAUGCCAGUCGCGCGAACAGACGAGGAGCUUGCUCCUCUGACGUUAGCGGCGGACGGGUGAGUAACACGUGGAUAACCUACCUAUAAGACUGGGAUAACUUCGGGAAACCGGAGCUAAUACCGGAUAAUAUAUUGAACCGCAUGGUUCAAUAGUGAAAGACGGUUUUGCUGUCACUUAUAGAUGGAUCCGCGCCGCAUUAGCUAGUUGGUAAGGUAACGGCUUACCAAGGCAUCGAUGCGUAGCCGACCUGAGAGGGUGAUCGGCCACACUGGAACUGAGACACGGUCCAGACUCCUACGGGAGGCAGCAGUAGGGAAUCUUCCGCAAUGGGCGAAAGCCUGACGGAGCAACGCCGCGUGAGUGAUGAAGGUCUUCGGAUCGUAAAACUCUGUUAUUAGGGAAGAACAAAUGUGUAAGUAACUAUGCACGUCUUGACGGUACCUAAUCAGAAGGCCACGGCUAACUACGUG